rnacentral:rRNA from 1 species
CCUACGGGGGGCAGCAGUGAGGAAUAUUGGUCAAUGGGCGCGAGCCUGAACCAGCCAAGUCGCGUGAAGGAUGACUGCCCUACGGGUUGUAAACUUCUUUUAUAAAGGAAUAAAGUGAGGCACGUGUGCCUUUUUGUAUGUACUUUAUGAAUAAGGAUCGGCUAACUCCGUGCCAGCAGCCGCGCUAAUACGGAGGAUCCGAGCGUUACCCGGAUUUAUUUGGUUUAAAGGGAGCGUAGGUGGGUUGUUAAGUCAGUUGUGAAAGUUUGGGGCUCAACCGUAAAAUUGCAAUUGAUACUGGCAGUCUUGAGUACAGUUGAGGUAGGUGGAAUUCGUGGUGUAGCGGUGAAAUGCGUAGAGAUCACGAAGAACACCGAUUGCGAAGGCAGCUUACUAGAC